rnacentral:rRNA from 1 species
AUUGAACGCUGGCGGCAUGCUUUACACAUGCAGGUCGAACGGUAACAGGCCGCAAGGUGCUGACGAGUGGCGAACGGGUGAGUAAUGCAUCGGAACGUGCCCAGUCGUGGGGGAUAACGCAGCGAAAGCUGCGCUAAUACCGCAUACGAUCUCUGGAUGAAAGCGGGGGACCGAAAGGCCUCGCGCGAUUGGAGCGGCCGAUGUCAGCUUAGGUAGUUGGUGGGGUAAAGGCCCACCAAGCCAACGAUCUGUAGCUGGUCUGAGAGGCAGACCAGCCACACUGGGACUGAGACACGGCCCAGCCUCCUACGGGAGGCAGCAGUGGGGAAUUUUGGACAAUGGGCGCAAGCCUGAUCCAGCAAUGCCGCGUGCAGGAAGAAGGCCUUCGGGUUGUAAACUGCUUUUGUACGGAACGAAACGGUCCGGGUUAAUACCCUGGCUAAUGACGGUACCGUAAGAAUAAGCACCGGCUAACUACGUGCCAGCCGCCGCAGUAACAC